AAGUCGAACGAACUCUGGUAUUGAUUGGUGCUUGCAUCAUGAUUUACAUUUGAGUGAGUGGCGAACUGGUGAGUAACACGUGGGAAACCUGCCCAGAAGCGGGGGAUAACACCUGGAAACAGAUGCUAAUACCGCAUAACAACUUGGACCGCAUGGUCCGAGUUUGAAAGAUGGCUUCGGCUAUCACUUUUGGAUGGUCCCGCGGCGUAUUAGCUAGAUGGUGGGGUAACGGCUCACCAUGGCAAUGAUACGUAGCCGACCUGAGAGGGUAAUCGGCCACAUUGGGACUGAGACACGGCCCAAACUCCUACGGGAGGCAGCAGUAGGGAAUCUUCCACAAUGGACGAAAGUCUGAUGGAGCAACGCCGCGUGAGUGAAGAAGGGUUUCGGCUCGUAAAACUCUGUUGUUAAAGAAGAACAUAUCUGAGAGUAACUGUUCAGGUAUUGACGGUAUUUAACCAGAAAGCCACGGCUAACUACGUGCCAGCAGCCGCGGUAAUACGUAGGUGGCAAGCGUUGUCCGGAUUUAUUGGGCGUAAAGCGAGCGCAGGCGGUUUUUUAAGUCUGAUGUGAAAGCCUUCGGCUCAACCGAAGAAGUGCAUCGGAAACUGGGAAACUUGAGUGCAGAAGAGGACAGUGGAACUCCAUGUGUAGCGGUGAAAUGCGUAGAUAUAUGGAAGAACACCAGUGGCGAAGGCGGCUGUCUGGUCUGUAACUGACGCUGAGGCUCGAAAGUAUGGGUAGCAAACAGGAUUAGAUACCCUGGUAGUCCAUACCGUAAACGAUGAAUGCUAAGUGUUGGAGGGUUUCCGCCCUUCAGUGCUGCAGCUAACGCAUUAAGCAUUCCGCCUGGGGAGUACGGCCGCAAGGCUGAAACUCAAAGGAAUUGACGGGGGCCCGCACAAGCGGUGGAGCAUGUGGUUUAAUUCGAAGCUACGCGAAGAACCUUACCAGGUCUUGACAUACUAUGCAAAUCUAAGAGAUUAGACGUUCCCUUCGGGGACAUGGAUACAGGUGGUGCAUGGUUGUCGUCAGCUCGUGUCGUGAGAUGUUGGGUUAAGUCCCGCAACGAGCGCAACCCUUAUUAUCAGUUGCCAGCAUUAAGUUGGGCACUCUGGUGAGACUGCCGGUGACAAACCGGAGGAAGGUGGGGAUGACGUCAAAUCAUCAUGCCCCUUAUGACCUGGGCUACACACGUGCUACAAUGGAUGGUACAACGAGUUGCGAACUCGCGAGAGUAAGCUAAUCUCUUAAAGCCAUUCUCAGUUCGGAUUGUAGGCUGCAACUCGCCUACAUGAAGUCGGAAUCGCUAGUAAUCGCGGAUCAGCAUGCCGCGGUGAAUACGUUCCCGGGCCUUGUACACACCGCCCGUCACACCAUGAGAGUUUGUAACACCCAAAGUCGGUGGGGUAACCUUUUAGGAACCA
rnacentral:rRNA from 1 species